rnacentral:lncRNA from 1 species
GCUUAUAAAAAUAGAGAGACACAAUAUUCUAUGGGAGGCUCCAAUAUCAAAAAAUAAUACCCAGAUCAACUAACACCUCCCUCACACAAUCAUCCAUUAAAGCAAAUCCUAAACAACCAGAAUUUUUAUACAUAAGCAAAUCUUAUAAGUAGGGAGCCAACAAGGUGAAUACGCAUAAACAAAGAAGAGGGGGUGAGGGGCUAAGGAGAGAAUAUGAUAACAUUGUGAGUCCAACGAUAAGGAGAAGGACCAAAUAUAGGCAAACCAUCAGGUUAGUAACACAUCCCAUGUUAACAAACAUUCUUAAACUGAAAUACAUCUUUAUUCAUUUCUUAUAAAAUACAUAUUAUAAUAACAUCUACAUAAACACAUUUUCAUUACUAAAUCAAAGCCAACACCCUCCAUAAACAUUAAGCUAAUUGGUAAAUAAAAAGGACUUGCUAUUAAGAGAUAUCCUUUACAAACCAGAAGCUUUGCUAGCCUUCACUAACGCUGCAAAACUGGAACAUCCAUCCUUGUCCUCCAUUACCACCAUCGAGAAAAGCCAUAAGCUUCGCCGGAGACAUACCAGGAACCUGCUAUUACGGGAAAGGAGAAGACAUUGAACCUAGAAGAGAUGAGGUUUGGAUACGUGAAGAGACCUUACCUCUCUAACUGUCGGAGUCGCGGAGACGCUGCCUCCCUCGGCCAAGCCGCGUCCCAGCGAUAGUCCCUAUCGCGGGUCUGGCCACCUAGGUUGGGGGGUUCUAAACCUAUACCCCACUCCUUGCAAACACCACGAUGCACCAACACCAUGAUUCGCCGUCGCCGUUCUCCUUCCUCAAUCUGGACUGGUUGUCGCCGUUGGAGAUGAGGGUGUAGGGAUGAAGAUAAGAGGUGGGGAAUGAGAUUAGGGAUUUACCCCCCUUUUUAGAAUAUGGUCGUGUACCACUUUUUCUUCAAUCUGGUCAUCCUUUUUUUUACUUAUUUAUUUACCUUAUACUCUUAAUUGUUAGACUCUGUUAGUCUGUUCCUUUG